CCGGCAAGCUGGAAGGAGGGGCGGCUUCCGGGAGCCCCGCCCCUCCGCGCCCCGCCCCGCCGGCCACGCCCCCGGGCGCACCGAAGUCCCCACAGAGACCACCUAUCACACGCUGGAGGAGGGCGUGGUGGAGUACUGCACGGCUGAGGCGCCCCCACCUCUGCCACCGGAGGCCCCUGUGGACAUGAUGGCCCAGCACGCAGACACGUCGGUCAAGCCGCAAGCGCUCAAGAGCCGCAUUGCUCUCAACUCCGCCAAGCUGAUACAGGAGCAGCGGGUCACCAACCUGCAUGUGAAGGAGAUCGCACAGCACCUGGAACAGCAGAACGACCUACUGCAGAUGAU
rnacentral:sRNA from 1 species